AGGAAGGCUUGGGUGGGAGCGAUGCUGAGAUUACAGUCAGUCCUGGGUUUGGAACAUCGAAGGAUGGCACAUGCCACCAUAAAAUUGUACCGCAGCACUUUGGACAAUUGUGAAGACUGCAGUGGACCUGUCUCCGUUUCAAAUGGCUUGGUUUCUCAUGCAAAUUGUGUUCAAGAGCGUGGCAUAAAUCCUGCUUUUUGAAGAAAAAUUCAUUACUGAUUAGUUGGAUCUGGAAAUGGAUGAAGGUGAGCAGGAUGAUGGAGACAGUGAUAUGGAUGAUGCAAGUGUCGCUGACGAUGAACAUGAUGGUGAAGGUGGA